CAGUAGCCGCGGGAAUACGUAGGUGGCAAGCGUUGUCCGGAAUUAUUGGGCGUAGAGGGCUCGCAGGCGGUUUCUUAAGUCUGAUGUGAAAGCCCCCGGCUCAACCGGGGAGGGUCAUUGGAAACUGGGAAACUUGAGUGCAGAAGAGGAGAGUGGAAUUCCACGUGUAGCGGUGAAAUGCGUAGAGAUGUGGAGGAACACCAGUGGCGAAGGCGACUCUCUGGUCUGUAACUGACGCUGAGGAGCGAAAGCGUGGGGAGCGAACAGGAUUAGAUACCCCCGUAGUCCCUGUCUCUUAUAC
rnacentral:rRNA from 1 species